rnacentral:tRNA from 2 species
AAAAGUUUAGUUUAUUAUAAAAAUAUUAGAUUGUAAAUCUAAAGAGUUUAUCUUUUG